UGAGAUGCAGCUCAGUUGGUAGAGCACUUGCCUAGCAUGUGUGAAGCCCUGGGUUCAAUCCCAGCACCACAU
rnacentral:tRNA from 1 species